GCAUAUUAUGCAAACAAAACAUCCCAGUGGGAUUUGCAACCCAUUCCUCCAUUUGCUAGGCACUCUGGAGAAUGUGAAGAAUAUCUGUAAGACACGGAUGAAGAGGCUGGACAGCUCCGCCUGCCUGCAUGCUGUGGGCGACAAGGCCGUGGAAUUCUUCUUUGCUUCUGAUGCAAGCGCUAUCAUAGAGCACACCAACCGGGUCAUCUUCCUGGAGGAUGAUGACAUCGCCGCAGUGGCUGAUGGGAAACUCUCCAUUCACCGGGUCAAGCGCUCGGCUAGUGAUGACCCAUCUCGAGCCAUCCAGACCUUGCAGAUGGAACUGCAGCAAAUCAUGAAAGGCAGGUGUCCUCCAGAGUCCAUGUGCGGCAGCCUCGGGAGCCAGCGCGCCUGGUGGAGCUCCUGACGCUCUCUGCCUGGUCCUAGUAGAGGCCACAGCCCUCCUGCCCUCUGUGGCCACCAGGGCGGGGCUGCAGGUAGCCUGUGGCUGGCACAGGUGAGGGGAUGUGGGGAGGCU
rnacentral:sRNA from 1 species